GCCAGCAUGCUGUAGUGGUUUGAGCAUUGGACCACAACUCUGAAGAUCAGGGUUCGAUUCCCUGCUCAGCCA